CCCGUGCGUGGCGGUGUCUCCUCGGCCGGCGGCGGGCGGGAGGGAAGGAGCGAGCGGUUGGUUUGUCGGGCUGGGCCACAGCCGUGUCGGCGAGAGCCUCGUAGCGAGUUGCCCCGCAGCCGGGACGAAAUGAGCCGUCAGACUGCUACAGCACUACCUACAGGUACUUCAAAGUGUACACCAUCACAGAGAGUGCCUGCUCUGACUGGCACUACAGCUUCCAACAAUGACUUGGCAAGUCUUUUUGAGUGUCCUGUGUGUUUUGACUAUGUGCUGCCACCUAUUCUUCAGUGUCAGAGUGGCCAUCUUGUUUGUAGCAACUGUCGCCCCAAGCUUACAUGCUGUCCAACUUGCCGAGGCCCACUGGGUUCCAUUCGUAACUUGGCUAUGGAAAAAGUUGCCAAUUCUGUACUGUUCCCAUGUAAAUACGCCUCUUCUGGAUGUGAGAUAACUUUGCCACACACAGAAAAAGCAGACCAUGAAGAGCUGUGUGAGUUUAGGCCUUAUUCAUGUCCAUGUCCUGGUGCUUCAUGUAAAUGGCAAGGUUCGCUGGAUGCUGUAAUGCCACAUUUGAUGCAUCAGCAUAAGUCAAUAACAACACUACAGGGAGAAGAUAUAGUUUUCCUUGCUACAGACAUUAAUCUUCCUGGGGCUGUUGACUGGGUUAUGAUGCAAUCUUGUUUUGGCUUUCAUUUCAUGUUAGUCUUGGAGAAACAGGAAAAAUAUGAUGGUCACCAGCAGUUCUUUGCUAUUGUACAGCUGAUAGGAACACGCAAGCAAGCUGAAAAUUUUGCUUAUCGACUUGAGCUUAAUGGUCAUAGGCGGCGAUUGACUUGGGAAGCAACUCCUCGAUCUAUUCAUGAGGGAAUUGCAACAGCCAUUAUGAAUAGUGACUGUCUAGUCUUUGACACCAGCAUUGCACAGCUCUUUGCAGAAAAUGGCAAUUUAGGCAUCAAUGUAACUAUUUCAAUGUGUUGAAAUGGCAAGCAAACAUUUUCAGGCCAGUGUUUAAAACAGUUGCAUUUAAUUUCGCAGAAACUAGGGUAACCAUCUUUGACUGCCAAACACAAACUAUUUGGUAGAGGGAGGCUAGACGUAUAUGAAGGUAAAUAAAAGGAAAGGCUGUUAAAUUGCAGGAAGCAGUUGCAUGUAGUAACACUAAUAUAUUUAAAAUAAGUCAACAGUAAACCACUGAAAAUAUAUAUACACCCAAAAUGGGCAUCUUUUGUAUUAAGAAUUGAUUCUACAGGAAAUGUUGUAAAAUAGUUCUGAAAACUUGUUUGUAGAUUGAUUGUACUGUUGAAAAGGAUACUGUUGUGUUUGUUUUUUUUUUCCUUUGACUGACAAGCCAUGUUGAGCAGUCUGGUCUCUUGCCGCUGCUUUUUCCCCUUAAGUCACUACAUAGUAUUGCUGCUGUUUUGUGUAUAUUUUUUGUGUAUUUGCUAAUUUUUAUUAACUUCUAGUUUUUCAUUAAAUAAAUGACUUUCUUUUCUGUAAUUCAGGUUUUCCUCCUUUUUGUACCUUUUAAAAAUUAAUUGCAGGUGUCAUCUUUUGAUAUGCAUAAUUGCUUAUGGUAAAACUUAUACUUCUGUACAUUUGGUAAAUUAGUCUUUCCCAGUAGUCCAUUCAUUGGUGAUACUGUUCUUAAUUCAGCUAUUUUGUGAAUGUAUUCAACUCUAAAGAAGCAAUUACAUUGGAAGAAUUAUCAGAAAAACGGCUCCUUUAAAACAGGCCUAGAUGAUGAUGUACUUUGUUAUACCUUCAAACAGAAGUGAGGAGUUAUUGGUUAACAUCCUAAUUAAAAAAACUGAAAAUGCAGGCACACUUUAAAAAUUUAGAAACUUCAGACACAAACUCAUGCUUGUAUUUUGGUUUUGCAGUACAAGGCAUUGUCUUAUGCAGUAUUUGUAACUAUAAAAACAGACCAUUUAAAAAAAAAAAGGCAGUCUCAGAAAACGAUGUUUUUGGUCUUUUAUAAUUUUGUCAUUAAAAGAAUACCUGGCAAAUGAAAAACUCUUGUUUUUUGCUUUAGCACAAUAUUUGACUAAUUUAACAUUUUAACUCAACUUUGCUUGUUCUGGUAUCCUUUGUCUGAUUGUUACUAGAGAGAACCAACUUUAUUUUCCUUAGUCAUACUAAUCUUGUAUGUCAUCCGACCAUGUUAGUGAUACGAUGAACAGUAGACAUCUAAAGGUCCAUGCAAUUCUCUUGCUUUUAAAGGCGUAAGUGGUAUAUUGGGGUCUUUUGCAGGUUGCUCGCAAGUUUGAGAAAUUCACCUUGAAUGUAUGUCCGUAUACAGCACUGAGAUGGUUAAUGUAAAAAAGAAAUAAUGUAAAAGAGAACUAUUACAUUUCAAACUACUUUAAAAGUAUCUCUUUGCCAAACUUGCUGUUGGGAGGAGUAGAAUGAAUAUUAGCUACUUUUUGUAUAACAUUAAAAUAUAAUUUAUUUACUAUAUAUUGUCUAACUUUCUUGUCAGAAACUGAUCUAUGUUAAGACAACUCAUUGAAUUAUUUUUGGUGCAGUGAUUACACAUUUUAGCCUGAUGGGAGCAUUCCAGUGCACUUCUGAGGGCUCUCACAUACCCAGGAAAUAACUGGAAUGAUGGACAUUCCUGUUCUGGAAGUUUACAGGUAAGGAGAAACUGUCAUAUUUGUCUUGAUGCAAUAAACAUCUUUAGCCUUGUUUUUUAAGGCUAUAUUCCAAAGCUUGUAUUGGGGGCCCUUGCUUGCUAUGACCAGGGAAGAUGAAGCCUUCUGAAGAAAGGGAUUUUAUACACCUCUACCCCGAUAUAACACAAAUUCGGAUAUAACAUAGUAAGGCAGUGCUCUGGGGCAGUGGGGCUGCACACGCUGGCGAAUCAAAGCAAGUUUGAUAUAACAUGGUUUCACCUAUAACGGUAAGAUUUUUUGGCUCCUGAGGACAGCGUUAUAUUGGGGUAGAGAUGUACCUUCUUUUAAUAUAAUUAAUGGAUCAGUUGUAAGAAUGCCACUGAACAACUGUAGGAUUAGUCCUAUGACCCACAGAAGGCUUAAUAGGUCUCCUUAUACACUGCAUAUACAGAAACCAGUUGAAGCAAAAUAUUUUAUAGUGUAUGCUUCAUUGUGAUUUCCCAUUAUGGUAUAGUUACCACCAUCCCUUCACAAAUUUUUCUAUAGCAGACCCCCAUUUGUCUUGAAGCCCACACCUUAUUACAGUUUUAUGAGCAGUGGUGGUAUAUUUCAAAACUAGUCAUUCAUUAGUAGAAUGAGCUUGCAAGAAGUGGUCAAACCUUUAUUAAUCUAAUACCAAACUGAAAAAUUUAAGUUACAAAAAUCAGCAUUACUACAAGAUUUUAAUCUUUCUUCGUGAACUAACAUAAGGAAAAUAACAUUCAGAGACAGAAUAUAAUCAUCUUCCCCAUAAUUUAAAACAUCUGUGUAGACUGAAGUUGGUAGCUUAAAUUUAUAGCCAUCACAUAAGAGGGUGGAAAAAUACAUGAGGUUAAGAGACUAAUAUGAUUCUUUACGAAGGGUAAAGGAAACUAGAAUUUGACAAUUAAGGGUAUGCUUUUUCUAUACUCUUGUUCUGAAAUGUUUAUACUACCACUACUAUUUGAAUUUUGGAGCUUUAAAACACCAAAUCAAAAUGUUCCCUUUUUUCAUUUGAGCAUCCAGCUUUUCCACAAGUGAGACUUAAGGAGUCUUUCUUUGUAUAAGCCUGACCUUUGCCUCUCCCUUCUACAUUUCCCCCCCAUGCAAAAAAACCUACCUUUUUAAAAACUCAUCUGAUUUGUCAAAUUUCUCAUGACUGCUGCUCUGCCAGAAGAGCAUGGUUUUAGAGAUUCCAGGAGAGAAUGAAGUCAAAUACUAAACCGUUGGGAGGAAAAAAAUUAAGAAUCAUCUUUGCAUAUUUUAAGAAUCCUCUUCCAAAACUUCACAUUAAUUAAGAGGCCAUAAUUUCCAGUGGGGACUCACCCUACUCUCCAUUAGCAGGUACACAAUUUUGAAGGUGUGAAUAGGUAUUAGUGCAGGGGUGGGCAAAUUUUUUGGCCCGAGGGCCACAUUGGGGUAUGGAAAUUGUAUGGCGGACCAUGAAUGCUCAUGAAAUUGGGGGUAGGGGUGGAGCCAGAAAUGAGUUCAGGGUGUAGGAGGGGGAUCAGGGCUGGGGCAGAUGUGUGAGGGCUCUGGCAGGGGGUGCAGGGUUUAGGAGGGUGCUCUGCUGCACUGGGUGGCUUUAAUAACUUAAUCCUUAUUUUAUUCUUAAAGAUAACUCUCAAACAUUUAUUAUACCUUAUGACAUUCCUGUGAGAGAGAAUCAUAACUCUAUUUUUCAGAUGGGAAAAUAGGUUCAGAUGUUUAAUCUGCUCAACUGUCCCGCCAUGCAGUGGCAAAGCCAGGCUUAGAACCUUAUGCGUAACGUGCUAGACGACACUUCUCAUGCAGAUAUCAUUUAACCAUUAAAAUGGGGAUAAGACAUGCUUCACAGAAGUGAUUAAUCAAUAUUUGUAUGUCUUUUCCAAUAUGCUAUAUACUCUCCCACAAGUCUUCACUUUUCCUGACCCGAUUUGGUCGCCUAUCUUUUUUUCCUGUUGUGAAGGAGUAGUUUUGGUGGCAUUCACUGGGUGAAUAUUUGUGCAUUUGACUAACUCUGGUUCAUGAAAUCUUGUAUUUUAUUCCACAAACAAACUCCAUUUCAUUUAUCACAAAUAUGUGUAUUAAAUAUUUGUGCCGAUUAAGGUGAGAUGGGUCUUAAGUCAAAUUUUAACCACUGUUCCCCCAUACCUGAAAUUUUACCUAUUGGAAAGUUUUAGGGUGAGGUCCACAAAUGCAUAUCAUAUCACACAUUUCCUAGCUUUUUGCAUGUUAACAGUUUGGUCUAGAAACUCUAAAUAUCAUCUGGGUGUGUUAAAAAAAUACAGCACUGACCAUUAAGAUUAGGUGCUUAAAAAGUCCUUGAGCCAAAAACGAACAAAAUAGGGAAUAUAGGACACUGGCAAUGGUAUUUGAGAACAAUGAAGGUGGUUAUGGUGACUUAUGCUUUACAUUUCUUUUAAAUGUAACAACUCUGAAAUUCUAAUAUUUUAACAAAUGUAUUUUUGCAAGGUUUUUAGACAAAACAUUAAUGCACUUCAACUUUUUUUUUGCUGGGGAAGUAAGCAAUAUUCACUGAUAGCUCAGCUGAAAAAUUAAGUGCAUUUAUUUUAAUUACAUGAAGUUUUAUAUAACACAUCCGUUGCCUAAUCACUAGAGCUAUCAUUAAACCCGUCUGUAUACAGUAGUAACAAAACUAGAGCAUCAGAGACAUUAGGAUCUAGAGCAAAAGUGUUUAACUGGGUUAGGUGCUUUUUUGAAAAAUAUAUCCCUAAUCUUGGUUUCUGCUUGGGUGUGCAAGCAGGUAUGUGUACUCUCCUCCAUUAAUGACUGACAUGCUGCUGAUAGAACUGGCAUAUGUAAAACUUGUUUGGUAAAGUUGCAGGUGCACUUUUCUAUUAUUAAUAGUCAAGUAGAACUGGGGUUGAGGCCCCACUGAAAGUAAGGCCUUAACUUUUAAUGGGUGACACAGCACAUCACAGUGAGGCCUCAGUAUUUGCCCUCAUGUUUUAUAUCACCGUAGAUCAAAUUUUUACUAUCUGACAGUUGAAUGAGUGUUUAAUGUUGAUGUACAGGAUACCUCACCCAAUCCGCUUAAAGUUUACUAUUCAAGCGCUCAAGUCCAGUCUUGAUUGAAAAUCCCCCAUCGAAAGCUGCAUUCAGAACUUCAUCCAGGCAGCUUGCCGUAACAAAAUUCAAGUCCUGCCGCACAUUCACUGCAAUCUCUUCAAGGUCUUUUUCAUUUCUUUGAGGAAUGAUAAUUCUCUUCAGUCCAGCUCUAUGGGCUGCUAGGACUUUGUCCUUAAUUCCCCCAACCUAUUAAAACCACACAAUUUAAAAAGAAAAGUUAUUUAGUUAUGAUGCUUUCAGCAAAGCAGUCACAAGAGGCAUUUUGAAUUAAAUAUUAAGUGAACAAGACAGGAUUCCAGAUGUACAUCCAUAAUUCAUCAUACUGAGAGCUUAAACUGCAGGGACAUAUUUUUAAUGGAAUGUUUUUCUCCUAAAUCACUUUUUAGGAGAAGGUAAAUUUGAAAGUGUUGGCAAUCAUUUUAGCUCCUACGGGUAAGGCAAACGCAUUUAUUAGUCUUAAACUGCUAGAAUGGGAAAUAUAACAUGAUUAUUGUAAAAGAUUUCAGCUACAUAGCUGCAAGAAUCUCAAACAUGAGAUCUUACUUAUAUCCUUGCACCCAUCAACAUAGGAAAAACACUUCUAAAAAGGCAUCUGUCGCCCUUAUGAUUCCCAUUUUAAGGUAACACAAGGCUGGACUCUGCCCUGCUGGACCCUCCAGUCUCUGGCUCUUCUUUUCUAUACAUGGUAAAGCACUGUGUAUCUUAGUAGCAUUAACAACGGAAAGAAAGGCCACUGUUUGUUUCAGGUGUAUCUGCCUCCCUCUACAGCUUACUUAGGGCUUGUCUACAUGACAAGUUAGUGUGCGCCAUGUAGACAAGCCUUUAUUUUAAAAAUUAUCCUUGUUCAAAAGCAAAAAAAAAAAAAACCUGCCAAAAAAUGCUUAUGCAGACAGCUAUGCUUUUCAAGCAGUUGAAAAUACAUACUGUAGCAUAUCCAAACUACAGCCAAGCAUCCACUAUCGCUAUAACUGUGAAUCUCUACACUUAGGGACAAAAUAUGUAGCCUCUCUCUAUGUUUAAUGCAGUUCAUGUGCAUGUAAUCUUAGGAAUUUGUAUAUACAGUUAAUGUAUGCAAUUGUCAGUCUUUCCUUCCAUAACUGCAAACAUAAGGACUUGACAAAUAACUUUUCUGAAAUGCUCAAAAUUUGUUAGUUGAAGUUGUUACUGGAAUUAAGAAGCCAGAUCCUCAGCCUCUGUAAAUUGCUGUAGUUCUGUUGAUGUCAAUGAGUUACUUUAACUAACUUAUAGCAGUUAAGGAUGAGGCAUUAAAGAGCAUUCCUUGGAUACAAAUCAAUGGGUUUUAACAGGCCAUUCUUUGCUUAGGAAAAAGUAUUCCAGAUGGGAAAGUGAACACAAAGAAUGGACUUAGGUUGGCAAUCUUAUAAAUCCUAAACUAAUGCAAGUCCUUGAGAAGGAGAUGGGAGAGCUUCCUUUUGCUAUGAUGAAGCAGAGUUAGGAGAGUGUAAAAUUAGUAUUCUGUAUUUUUAAUACCAAAAUUGAAAACCAAACAAUCCUGCUUUUCACACAAUAAAAACAGGGUCCAAUCUUGCUAACACUCACUAUCUGCCAUAAGGCAUCCUACUAUGUGAAGUCCUUUUGAAUUCAAUGGGAUGCUCAUGUGAGUGUCAGCAGGAUUCUGGACCCUCAAGAAUCAGUUUUCAGAAAGGACAGAGUCAUUUCUCAAAAACAGUUAAUAGGGGCAUGUGUUUGCAGUCUGCACUUAAGAAUGACCUGGCCAAAAAAACAGUUAUGCUGUGCCUGAUGUCUCGUUAUUUAAGGUGCAACAACCCUACUCAAUUUGGUAAUCUGAAUUAAGCCUACUAUGAUGACAUAUCUGAAUUACUGCAACACCCUCUUCUCGAGUGCAAGCCUUAACAAAUGCAGUCAUAUCCACUCAGAAUGGUGCUAUAAAGAUCAUUCUCCUAGCCUGUCACAUGUCCAACAAACCUAAGUGGCUUGUCUUCACUUUCAAAGCCAUUCACAACAUGUCCCCACCCUAUUACCUCUUCUGAGAUGUCAACUCCUAGUUAUGAUCAGCCCAUGAUGCCAGCCUCCAUUGCCUACUUGUUUUGUGCCUUUUUUGAUGCUGCCCCUCAUGCUUGGAGGUGCUCUCCCUAAAUAGCUACAAAUCUACUCCACUCAUUCAGAUCCCUCUAGCUCCCUGAUACCUACAAAACAUAACCAUGAUUAGGCUGCUUGUGUGCUGAGACUACAACCUCUCAUGCUGACCAAUAUUGCCUCAUUAUUUCCUUGAAUUCCCAUUGGUCUGUCCGUAUCCACCUGUUUUUUGUCUUAUGGUUAGAUUGUAAGAUCUUUGGAGCAGCAAAUGUCUUUUUGUUCUGUUUGUACAGUGGGGACUAGAGCUCCAAAGUGCUAUGAUAAUACAAAAAAACCCAAAACCCCAUAAUGGAUGUUUUUGCACUGCCCUCCUAAUGGCAUGGUUUAAGGUCAUUUUUAAAUUGUGGAAAAUACUGUUCUCACGUUGAGCAGUACAGAUCUAUAACUAAAUUACAGCCAACUUACCUUCAUUCUUUAUGUUCAUAAAGAGCUUAGGGCUUGACUAAAGCCAGAUUUUAUCUACACUGUACUCAACACUAUGGGGGAAGAAAAACAUUUGUGGUUUAGGUUGAACUUCUGCCCAUAGCACAUCUGUGAUGCCUACAUAUGCUAAUUGUACAAAUCAAAUGUAUGCUAUUAUCACCGGAGUCUAAUCCCCUCUCCAUGGACUACAAUAAUAAAAAUACCCUGUCAAUACCAAUAAUUUGAUUUUUUUUUUCAUGAACUAAUGCUUUUUCAUUUGCAACACACAUGUAGGAAAUGUAAAUGGAUAUUAUGAAUUUUAGGAAUUAUUAGAAAAGGAAAUUUGUACUUGUAAAAAUAAUAAAUUGAAGUUAUAUGUUCCACUGAAAAUAUCACCCAUAUACUAACAACUUUUGCAUGCAAAUUGCAUAAAAUCAAGUAACUUUCAUAGUGUACAUCUGGAUGUGAAUUAGGACUUUUCUAUGCAUCUGUGCUAAUUAUACUGAAAGACAAUGCAGGGCUGUCCAGGAAUGAACUGUAGCAAGAUUACAAGGUUUACACCUGGGUAAGUAGCUUUGAAGAAGAUUACUAAUUCAUCUUACAGAGGGGGCAUUAAGAGGAAAAAACCCACAGUGCUAUCUUAAUAUAGGUUAACUUUUCCAAAUGAGACUUACUGGAAGAACGAGGCCUCUUAGUGUAAUUUCUCCAGUCAUUGCUACAUCUGAACGCACCAGUCGCCCACUGAAAAGUGAGGCAAGACAGGUUACUAUGGUAACUCCAGCAGAUGGUCCAUCUUUUGUGACGGCUCCAGCUGGGAAGUGCAGAUGGAUGUCGGUGUUGUCAAGGAGAUCAAAACUUCCAGAAGCUUAAAGAAAAGAGAAUGGUUUUGAAUGUGGAAAAUUCAAACCUGUGUUGUCCCUGGUCUUUGUUCUAAAAACGCCACUGGAGAACUAGAAUUUUUCGCAAAUGCAUUAUUUGAGAACAGUACACUUAAAAAUUAAAAAAAAAAAAAAAAAAAAAA